rnacentral:rRNA from 1 species
GAUGAACGCUGACAGAGUGCCUAACACAUGCAAGUCGACUCGAGUCUUCGGACUUGGGUGGCGCACGGGUGAGUAACGCGUAAAGAACUUGCCUCUUAGACCGGGACAACAUCUGGAAACGGAUGCUAAUACCGGAUAUUAUGGUUUUUUCGCAUGGAGGAAUCAUGAAAGCUAGAUGCGCUAAGAGAGAGCUUUGCGUCCCAUUAGCUAGUUGGUGAGGUAACGGCCCACCAAGGCAAUGAUGGGUAGCCGGCCUGAGAGGGUGAACGGCCACAAGGGGACUGAGACACGGCCCUUACUCCUACGGGAGGCAGCAGUGGGGAAUAUUGGACAGUGGACCACAAGUCUGAUCCAGCAAUUCUGUGUGCACGAUGACGUUUUUCGGAAUGUAAAGUGCUUUCAGUCGGGAAGAAGUCAGUGACGGUACCGACAGAAGAAGCGACGGCUAAAUACGUGCCAGCAGCCGCGGUAAUACGUAUGUCGCAAGCGUUAUCCGGAUUUAUUGGGCGUAAAGCGCGUCUAGGCGGCAAGGAAAGUCUGAUGUGAAAAUGCGGAGCUCAACUCCGUAUGGCGUUGGAAACUGCCUUACUAGAGUACUGGAGAGGUAGGCGGAACUACAAGUGUAGAGGUGAAAUUCGUAGAUAUUUGUAGGAAUGCCGAUGGGGAAGCCAGCCUACUGGACAGAUACUGACGCUAAAGCGCGAAAGCGUGGGUAGCAAACAGG